AGUGACGGUACCUGCAGAAGAAGCACCGGCUAACUACGUGCCAGCAGCCGCGGUAAUACGUAGGGUGCGAGCGUUGUCCGGAAUUAUUGGGCGUAAAGAGCUCGUAGGCGGCUUGUCGCGUCGGAUGUGAAAGCCCGGGGCUUAACUCCGGGUCUGCAUUCGAUACGGGCAGGCUAGAGUGUGGUAGGGGAGAUCGGAAUUCCUGGUGUAGCGGUGAAAUGCGCAGAUAUCAGGAGGAACACCGGUGGCGAAGGCGGAUCUCUGGGCCAUUACUGACGCUGAGGAGCGAAAGCGUGGGGAGCGAACAGGAUUAGAUACCCUGGUAGUCCACGCCGUAAACGUUGGGAACUAGGUGUGGGUCACAUUCCACGUGGUCCGCGCCGCACCUAACGCAUUAAGUUCCCCGCCUGGGGAGUACGGCCGCAAGGCUAAA
rnacentral:rRNA from 1 species